rnacentral:rRNA from 1 species
GGCCUGCGCGGAAGAUGUAACGGGGCUAAACCAUGCACCGAAGCUGCGGCAGCGACACUGUGUGUUGUUGGGUAGGGGAGCGUUCUGUAAGCCGUUGAAGGUGUGUCGUGAGGCAUGCUGGAGGUAUCAGAAGUGCGAAUGCUGACAUAAGUAACGAUAAAGCGGGUGAAAAGCCCGCUCGCCGGAAGACCAAGGGUUCCUGUCCAACGUUAAUCGGGGCAGGGUGAGUCGACCCCUAAGGCGAGGCCGAAAGGCGUAGUCGAUGGGAAACGGGUUAAUAUUCCCGUACUUGGUGUUACUGCGAAGGGGGGACGGAGAAGGCUAUGUUGGCCGGGCGACGGUUGUCCCGGUUUAAGCGUGUAGGUGUGUGUUCCAGGUAAAUCCGGUUCACUUUAACACUGAGGCGUGAUGACGAGGCACUACGGUGCUGAAGCAACAAAUGCCCUGCUUCCAGGAAAAGCCUCUAAGCAUCAGGUAACAUCAAAUCGUACCCCAAACCGACACAGGUGGUCAGGUAGAGAAUACCAAGGCGCUUGAGAGAACUCGGGUGAAGGAACUAGGCAAAAUGGUGCCGUAACUUCGGGAGAAGGCACGCUGACAUGUAGGUGAAGUGAUUUACUCACGGAGCUGAAGUCAGUCGAAGAUACCAGCUGGCUGCAACUGUUUAUUAAAAACACAGCACUGUGCAAACACGAAAGUGGACGUAUACGGUGUGACGCCUGCCCGGUGCCGGAAGGUUAAUUGAUGGGGUCAGCGCAAGCGAAGCUCCUGAUCGAAGCCCCGGUAAACGGCGGCCGUAACUAUAACGGUCCUAAGGUAGCGAAAUUCCUUGUCGGGUAAGUUCCGACCUGCACGAAUGGCGUAAUGAUGGCCAGGCUGUCUCCACCCGAGACUCAGUGAAAUUGAACUCGCUGUGAAGAUGCAGUGUACCCGCGGCAAGACGGAAAGACCCCGUGAACCUUUACUAUAGCUUGACACUGAACAUUGAGCCUUGAUGUGUAGGAUAGGUGGGAGGCUUUGAAGUGUGGACGCCAGUCUGCAUGGAGCCGACCUUGAAAUACCACCCUUUAAUGUUUGAUGUUCUAACGUGGACCCGUAAUCCGGGUUGCGGACAGUGUCUGGUGGGUAGUUUGACUGGGGCGGUCUCCUCCUAAAGAGUAACGGAGGAGCACGAAGGUUGGCUAAUCCUGGUCGGACAUCAGGAGGUUAGUGCAAUGGCAUAAGCCAGCUUGACUGCGAGCGUGACGGCGCGAGCAGGUGCGAAAGCAGGUCAUAGUGAUCCGGUGGUUCUGAAUGGAAGGGCCAUCGCUCAACGGAUAAAAGGUACUCCGGGGAUAACAGGCUGAUACCGCCCAAGAGUUCAUAUCGACGGCGGUGUUUGGCACCUCGAUGUCGGCUCAUCACAUCCUGGGGCUGAAGUAGGUCCCAAGGGUAUGGCUGUUCGCCAUUUAAAGUGGUACGCGAGCUGGGUUUAGAACGUCGUGAGACAGUUCGGUCCCUAUCUGCCGUGGGCGCUGGAGAACUGAGGGGGGCUGCUCCUAGUACGAGAGGACCGGAGUGGACGCAUCACUGGUGUUCGGGUUGUCAUGCCAAUGGCACUGCCCGGUAGCUAAAUGCGGAAGAGAUAAGUGCUGAAAGCAUCUAAGCACGAAACUUGCCCCGAGAUGAGUUCU